rnacentral:rRNA from 1 species
CCUACGGGUGGCAGCAGUGGGGAAUAUUGGGCAAUGGGCGCAAGCCUGACCCAGCAACGCCGCGUGCAGGAAGAAGGCUUUCGGGUUGUAAACUUCUUUUGUCAGGGACGUAGCAAGUGACGGUACCUGACGAAUAAGUCACGGCUAACUACGUGCCAGCAGCCGCGGUAAUACGUAGGUGGCAAGCGUUAUCCGGAUUUACUGGGUGUAAAGGGCGUGUAGGCGGGGAAGCAAGUCAGAUGUGAAAACCACGGGCUCAACCUGUGGCCUGCAGUUGAAACUGGUGGUCUUGAGUACUGGAGAGGCAGACGGAAUUCCUAGUGUAGCGGUGAAAUGCGUAGAUAUUAGGAGGAACACCAGUGGCGAAGGCGGGCGUCUGGACAGCAACUGACGCUGAGGCGCGAAAGCGUGGGGAGCAAACAGGAUUAGAUACCCCUGUAGUC